rnacentral:rRNA from 1 species
GACGAACGCUGGCGGCGUGCUUAACACAUGCAAGUCGAACGGAAAGACCCUGCUUUUGUGGGGUGCUCGAGUGGCGAACGGGUGAGUAACACGUGAGUAACCUGCCCUUGACUUUGGGAUAACUUCAGGAAACUGGGGCUAAUACAGGAUAUGAUCUCCUGCUGCAUGGGGGGGGUUGGAAAGUUUCGGCGGUUGGGGAUGGACUCGCGGCUUAUCAGCUUGUUGGUGGGGUAGUGGCUUACCAAGGCUUUGACGGGUAGCCGGCCUGAGAGGGUGACCGGCCACAUUGGGACUGGGAUACGGCCCAGACUCCUACGGGAGGCAGCAGUGGGGAAUAUUGCACAAUGGGCGGAAGCAGGAUGCAGCAACGCCGCGUGAGGGAUGACGGCCUUCGGGUUGUAAACCGCUUUCGCCUGUGACGAAGCGUGAGUGACGGUAAUGGGUAAAGAAGCACCGGCUAAUUACGU